rnacentral:rRNA from 1 species
CAGUAGCCACGGUAAUACAGAGGAUGCAAGCGUUAAUCGGAAUUACUGGGCGUAAAGCGUGCGCAGGCGGUUAUAUAAGUCAGAUGUGAAAUCCCCGGGCUCAACCUGGGAACUGCAUUUGAGACUGUAUGGCUAGAGUGUGUCAGAGGGGGGUAGAAUUCCACGUGUAGCAGUGAAAUGCGUAGAUAUGUGGAGGAAUACCGAUGGCGAAGGCAGCCCCCUGGGAUAACACUGACGCUCAUGCACGAAAGCGUGGGGAGCAAACAGGAUUAGAUACCCCCGUAGUCCCUGUCUCUUAUAA